rnacentral:rRNA from 1 species
UACAGAGGGGGCAAGCGUUGUUCGGAAUUACUGGGCGUAAAGGGCGCGUAGGCGGCCUUCUAAGUCGAACGUGAAAUCCCUGGGCUCAACCCAGGAACUGCGUCCGAUACUGGGAGGCUUGAAUCCGGGAGAGGGGUGCGGAAUUCCAGGUGUAGCGGUGAAAUGCGUAGAUAUCUGGAGGAACACCGGUGGCGAAGGCGGCAUCCUGGACCGGUACUGACGCUGAGGUGCGAAAGCGUGGGGAGCAAACAGG